rnacentral:rRNA from 1 species
CAACGGGUGAGGUAGACCAACAGGGAUUGCCUCAGUAACGGCGAGUGAAGCGGCAAAAGCUCAAAUUUUAAAGCUGGCAUCUCCGGUGUCCGCGUUGUAAUUUUGUGAGGCAUCUCCGGGUAGGGCGCCGGCCUAAGUUCCUUGGAACAGGACGUCAUAGAGGGUGAGAAUCCCGUGCUUGGCUGGCUGUCCCCGUCCAUGUGAGGUGUCUUCGACGAGUCGAGUUGUUUGGGAAUGCAGCUCAAAAUGGGUGGUAAAUUUCAUCUAAAGCUAAAUAUUGGUGGGAGACCGAUAGCGCACAAGUAGAGUGAUCGAAAGAUGAAAAGCACUUUGAAAAUAGAGUUAAAAAGUACGUGAAAUUGUUGAAAGGGAAGCGCUUGAGACCAGACUUCGGUGGGGAGUGAUCAGCCGUCCUUCUGGGCGGUGCACUUGCUCCCCUCCGGGCCAGCAUCGGUUGGGACGGCGGGAUAAAGGUCCCGGGAAUGUGGCUCCUUUCGGGGAGUGUUAUAGCCCGGGUGAAUGCCGCCAGCCCCGACCGAGGACCGCGCCUUCGGGCUAGGAUGCUUGGCAUAAUGGUCUUCAGCGACCCGUCUUGAAACACGGACCAAGGAGUCUAACAUCUAUGCGAGUGUUUGGGUGUCAAACCCUUACGCGAAAUGAAAGUGAACGGAGGUGGGAACCCGCAAGGGUGCACCAUCGACCGGUCCCGAAGUCUUCUGAAGGAUCUGAGUAGGAGCAUAGCUGUUGGGACCCGAAAGAUGGUGAACUAUGCCUGAAUAGGGUGAAGCCAGAGGAAACUCUGGUGGAGGCUCGCAGCGGUUCUGACGUGCAAAUCGAUCGUCAAAUUUGGGUAUAGGGGCGAAAGACUAAUCGAACCAUGCUUAAUGUG